UAGGAGAAUCGCUUUUGCUCGGCCAGUGUGCUCCCGAAGCCGGCUGCGGGCCGAGAGCACCUCGCCCCAGUUACAAGAAUCAAGACUGUACACAGACAUUGCCAACUUGCCCUUGGUUGAGAACCACUGAACCUAGGAUAAGACCAUGUUCAGAGAUGUACACUUAAAAUAUCCCUAGGAGAUUCUAAUAUGUAACCAGGGUUGAGAACUAUUGAUAUAAGCCAAUUAGUCAAUCCAGUUUCCUGUAGGAUUUUUCAGGUUCCCUUGCAUCUAUGUGUGGUCAUAUGACUUAGUUCUGGCCAGUGAGAUUUAAGUGGAAGUUUGCUUUGCUAGAGGGUUUGUGAGAGAAAGUCUAAGAAAGCUUGUACUUUAUUAAUGAAAGGUGACAGCCACAGCUUGUCCUGGAUGUCCCGGAUGCUGAGGCGGCUCCUGAGGUCCAACGCCCGGAGCUACAGCUCAGGGUUUCCGGUGAUGCCGCCCCGCCCCGGCGAGUCCGCGCAAGUUGCCUGAGAGGAGCUGUCUGGGCGAGGCAGUUCCUGCGGGAGCACAAGGCCCCCUUUUCCGCCUUCCUCACAGACAGCUUCAGCUGGCAGCACAGCUACCUGCGGAUCUCCCUCAUGGAGAAGAGCAGCCUCAUGUGUCAGUACUGCAUGCCCGAGGAGGGGUCCCGCUGACCCCCAAGGUCAACCUGCUGAUCACAGAGGAGAUCCUGACCCUUGCCUGGCUCUUUGUGAAGGAAGGCGUGGAAAAAGUUCCGGCUCAUGGGCGGUGAGCCGCUCAUUCAGCCGGACAUGGUGGACAUUGUGGCCCAACUCCAGCGGCUGGAAGGGCUGAGGACCAUCGGUGUCACCACCAACGGCAUCAACCUGGCCCAGCUGCUGCCCCAGCUUCACAAGGCUGGUCUCAGCGCCAUCAACAUCAGGCUGGACACACUGGUGCCUGCUAAGUUUGAGUUCAUCGUCCGCAGGAAAGGCUUCCACAAGGUCAUGGAGGGCAUUCACAAGGCCACGGGCUAUACAACCCUGUGAAGGUGAACUGCGUGGUGAUGCGAGGCCUUAACGAGGAUGAACUCCUGGACUUUGUGGCCUUGACCGAGGGCCUCCCCCUGGACGUGCGCUUCAUAGAGUACAUGCCCUUUGAUGGUAACAAGUGGAACUUCAAGAAGAUGGUCAGCUAUAAGAAGAUGCUAGAAACUGUCUGGCAGCAAUGGCCAGAGCUGGAGAAGCUGCCAGAGGAGGAAUCCAGGACAGCCAAGGUCUUUAAAAAUCCCUGGAUUCUAAGGCCAGAUCAGCUUCAUCAUGUCCAUGUCUGAACAUUUCUGUGGGACCUGCAACCGCCUGUGAAUCACAGCUGAUGGGAACCUCAAGGUCUGCCUCUUUUGGAAACUCUGAGGUAUCUCUACGGGAUCACUGCAAGCUGGGGCCUCCAAGCAGGAGUUGCUGAGAAUCAUCCGGGCUGCCGUGGGCAGGAAGAAGCGGCAGCAUGCAGGCAUGUUCAGUAUUUCCCAGAUGAAUAACCGGUGACCCAUCAAGUCACUUUUGAUGUUCCACGAUUCCCCACCAGCUAAUCCAAGCAUUUCCUCCUGGGACCCCCUCCAUGUUCAGGGUCUAAGAUCCAGAAUGAGUUUCUCUAGCCAGAUGGCCACUUUAUGGAAAGGAUACAGGGUUCCCCAGACCCCUCUUCUAGCCCAGCAGCAGCUAGGGUGUGGCUCCUUUCAGAGACACUACACUUCCCAUGCAGACUCAGAUGCCAACUCAAAGUGCCUUAGCCCAGGUUCCUGGGCUCCUGCUGCCCCCUCAGGACCCCAGUUAACCUCAGAACAACUAACGCAUGUGGACUUGGAAGGAUGGGAAGUUAUGGUAGAUGUGAGCAGGAAGAGCGGGUGGCUGUGGCCUCAGCCAUGGUCCUCCUGGGGCCUGUAGCCUUCAAGCUUGUCCAGCAGAACCAGCUCUAGAAAGGAGAUGCCCUGGUGGUGGCCCAGCUGGCUGGAGUACAGGCAGCCAAGCUGACCAGCCAGCUGAUCCCUCUGUGCCACCAUGUGGUCCUGAGCCACGUUCCAGGUGCAGCUGGAGCUGGACAGCACGUGCCAUGCCGUGGAGAUCUGGGCAUCUUGCCGGACUCGGGGCCCCCACCAGGGUGGAAAUGGAGGCCCUGACUUCUGGUGCAGUGGUCGCCCUCACUCUGUAUGACAUGUGCAAGGCUAUCAGCAGGGACAUCAUGUUGGAGGAGAUCAAGCUCAUUAGCAAGACCGGCGGCCAGUGGGGGGACUUCCAUCUGGCUUAGUUCCUGCCCUUCUCAC